rnacentral:lncRNA from 1 species
CUGGACUCUUGGGCAGGAAAGGUACUGAUGGGAAUGCUUGGCUAGCAUGAUUUUGCCCUGCAGAGGCCGCACCACACAUCCUGCCCCCCAGGGCAGUGGGUGGACCCAGGAGGCCCCCGGACACCCUGCAGCGGGCAGCAGGCACCACGGGAGCCCCAAACAGAGCUGAACCCAGAGCCCUCCACGGGGCCCCCAGGCAUGGGGCCUGGAGCGCAAGUUCUGGCCACCACCUGGGGCUGGAGGACCCCCAGGAAUUUGUCCUUUUAUCCUGUUCACUCAUUCACUCACUCACUCAUGCAUUCAUUCACUCAUUCAUUCAUUCACUCACUCAUGCAUUCAUUCACUCAUGCAUUCAUUCACUCAUGCAUUCAUUCACUCAUGCAUUCAUUCACUCACUCAUGCAUUCAUUCACUCAUGCAUUCAUUCACUCACUCAUUCAUUCAUUCAUUCACUCACUCAUUCGUUCGUUCAUUCACUCACUCAUGCAUUCAUUCACUCAUUCAUUCGUUCGUUCAUUCACUCAAUCAUGCAUUCAUUCACUCACUCAUGCAUUCAUUCACUCACUCGCACAUUCAUUCAUUCACUCGUUCAUUCAUUCACUCACUCAUUCAUUCAUUCACUCAUGCAUUCAUUCACUCACUCAUUCGUUCAUUCAUUCAUUCACUAAUGCAUUCAUUCACUCAUUCAUUCGUUUGUUCAUUCACUCACUCAUGCCUUCAUUCACUCACUCAUUCGUUCAUUCAUUCAUUCACUAAUGCAUUCAUUCACUCAUUCAUUCGUUUGUUCAUUCACUCACUCAUGCAUUCAUUCACUCACUCACACAUUCAUUCAUUCACUCAUUCAUUCAUUCACUCACUCAUUCAUUCAUUCACUCAUUCACUCACUCAUUCAAUUUAUUCACAAACACCACUGAGCCCCAACAGUAUGCAGCCUGACCUCACACCUGGCAGGUGGGUCCCCUGGGGGGCACAGGAUGCCAAUCCUGCUGGCCACCCCUCCAGGCCAAAGGGUGCGGGGGCCAGAGAAGCACUUUGAGUGGCACUGACAGCCUCGGGUGGUACAGGUGGUAUCCACAGUGA